AAAACUCAAAUGAAUUGACGGGGGCCCGCACAAGCGGUGGAGCAUGUGGUUUAAUUCGAUGCAACGCGAAGAACCUUACCUACUCUUGACAUCCUCAGAAGAGACUGGAGACAGUCUUGUGCCUUCGGGAACUGAGAGACAGGUGCUGCAUGGCUGUCGUCAGCUCGUGUUGUGAAAUGUUGGGUUAAGUCCCGCAACGAGCGCAACCCUUAUCCUUGUUUGCCAGCAC
rnacentral:rRNA from 1 species